GACGAACGCUGGCGGCGUGCUUAACACAUGCAAGUCGAACGGAAAGGCCCUGCUUUUGUGGGGUGCUCGAGUGGCGAACGGGUGAGUAACACGUGAGUAACCUGCCCUUGACUUUGGGAUAACUUCAGGAAACUGGGGCUAAUACCGGAUAGGAGCUCCUGCUGCAUGGUGGGGGUUGGAAAGUUUCGGCGGGUGGGGAUGGACUCGCGGCUCAUCAGCUUGUUGGUGGGGUAGUGGCUUACCAAGGCUUUGACGGGUAGCCGGCCUGAGAGGGUGACCGGGCACAUUGGGACUGAGAUACGGCGCAGACGCGUACGGGAGGCAGCAGUGGGGAGUAUUGCACAGUGGGGGGAAGCCUGAUGCAGCAACGCCGGGUGCGGGAUGACGGCCUUCGGGUUGUAAACCGCUUUAGCCUGUGACGAAGCGUGAGUGACGGUAAUGGGUAAAGAAGCACCGGCUAACUACGUG
rnacentral:rRNA from 1 species